rnacentral:tRNA from 1 species
GUGAGUGUAGCUUAGUUGGCUAAAGACCAGAUUGUGGCUCUGGAGAUCGUGGGUUCAAGUCCCAUCACCCACCCCA